CCUACGGGUGUCAGCAGUGAGGAAUAUUGGUCAAUGGGCGCGAGCCUGAACCAGCCAAGUAGCGUGAAGGAUGCCUGCCCUACGGGUUGUACACUUCUUUUAUCAAGGAAUAAAUUGAGGCACGUGUGCCUUUUUGUAUUUACUUUAUUAAUAAGGAUCGGCUAACUCCGUUCCAGCAGCCGCGGUACUACGGAGGAUCCGAGCGUUAUCCGGAUUUAUUGGGUUUAAAGGGAGCGUAGAUGGGUUGUGAAGUCAGUUGUUAAAGUUUGCGGAUCAACCGUAAAAUUGCAAUUGAGACUGGCAGACAUGAGUACAGUGGAGGUAGGCGGAAUUCGUGGUGUAGCGGUGAAAUGCU
rnacentral:rRNA from 1 species